UAUAAAUACCGAGGCAUAGCAGAGGUUGGAGAUAUAGCAAGUCACAUAGCAAAACAGAAACCUUCACAUACAAGUCUCCAGGCUCAUCUCGUGUUCAAACUCGAUCACCAUGUCGGACAAGUGCGGCAACUGCGACUGCGCUGACAAGAGCCAGUGCACGAAGAAGGGAAGUAGCUAUGCUGCUGAUUUCGUGGAGACUGAGAAGAGCUAUGUAGAGACUGUUUUCGUGGAUGCUCCAGCAGCUGAGCAUGAAGGCCAGUGCAAGUGCAGCACCAGCUGCGCCUGCAUUAAUUGCAUCUGUGGAAGUUACUAAUAGGUAAUAAUGUUGCUGGGGUGUGAUUUCAAUAUUGUCUUGUACUGUCCUUUGGCUGCUUCAGUGGCAUCAGCAUCAUGGUGCAGAUGCUUCACUUAUAAUGUCGUGUAUCCCAUCUUUAUGGCUCAAUGAACUAAUAUUUAGUAUAA